CGCCUAUAGUCGGGGAGCCACAAGGCUGAGAUCGCCCCCACUGCCCAGCGGCAGCGGCGCGAGACCCGUAGAACCUGAUUCAGUUAGCACUGACGUAGGGAACUAUUUACGUUUCGCG
rnacentral:ncRNA from 2 species